rnacentral:rRNA from 1 species
AAAGGGAAGCGAGCCUGUGAAGGGGAGCAAAUCCCAAAAAUAACGUCCCAGUUCGGAUUGUAGUCUGCAACCCGACUACAUGAAGCUGGAAUCGCUAGUAAUCGCGGAUCAGAAUGCCGCGGUGAAUACGUUCCCGGGUCUUGUACACACCGCCCGUCACACCAUGGGAGUCGGAAAUGCCCGAAGUCUGUGACCUAACCGUAAGGAAGGAGCAGCCGAAGGCAGGUCGGAUGACUGGGGUGAAGUCGUAACAAGGUAUC